AAAGCACCGGUUCUCAUACAAUCAACGAAGUUAAGCAACGUCGAGCCUUGUCAGUACCUAGGGUGAUCACUUGGAAAUACCUUGUGUUGCAAGC